rnacentral:misc_RNA from 1 species
GAUGAAGAACGCAGCGAAAUGCGAUAAUUAAUGUGAAUUGCAGAAUUCAGUGAAUCAUCGAAUCUUUGAACGCACAUUGCGCCCGCCAGUAUUCUGGCGGGCAUGCCUGUUCGAGCGUCAUUUCAACCCUCAAGCCCCCGGGCUUGGUGUUGGGGAUCGGCGUGCCCUCGCGGCGCGCCGUCCCCUAAAUCUAGUGGCGGUCUCGCUGUAGCUUCCUCUGCGUAGUAGCAACACUCGCACUGGAUCGCAGCGCGGCCACGCCGUUAAACCCCCCACUUCUGAAAGUUUGACCUCGGAUCAGGUAGGAAUACCCGCUGAACUUAAGCAUAUCAAUAAGCGGGGA